UACGUAGGCAGCGAGCGUUGUUCGGAGUUACUGGGCGUAAAGGGUGUGUAGGCGGUUAUUUAAGUUUGGUGUGAAAUCUCCCGGCUCAACCGGGAGGGUGCGCCGAAUACUGAAUGACUUCGAGUGCGGGAGAGGAGAGUGGAAUUCCUGGUGUAGCGGUGAAAUGCGUAGAUAUCAGGAGGAACACCGGUGGUGUAGACGGCUCUCUGGACCGUAACUGACGCUGAGACACGAAAGCGUGGGGAGCGAACAGG
rnacentral:rRNA from 1 species